UAUCCCUCUCUUGUUAUACCACAGUCUGAAAGUGUCAGUUUCUGCGGUCUGCAGUGUGAAUCCUCCAGUAAAGCACACAACUGUUUCACUCCUAGUAUCCUA